UACGUAGGGGCGAGCGUUGUCCGGAGUUACUGGGCGUAAAGCGCACGCAGGCGGUCUGCUAAGUUUGGAGUGACAGUUGGUGGCUUAACUGCCAAAGUGCUUCGAAACUGACAGACUUGAGGGCUUCAGAGGGACACGGAAUUCCGGGUGGAGUGGUGAAAUGCGUAGAGAUCCGGAGGAACACCAAAGGCGAAGGCAGUGAUCCUGGGAGUAGCCUGACGCUCGAGGUGCGAAAGCCAGGGAGCGAACGGGA
rnacentral:rRNA from 1 species